UGUCUAUUAAUUGUAGACCAGUAUGAAAGGCAUAAUGAGGGUCUAUCUGUCUCUUAUAAUAAGUCAAUUAAACUGAUCUCCUAGUAAAAAAGCUAGAAUCUCUACAUCAGACCAGAAGACCCUGUGAAACUUAAAUUAAACUAUUAAAUCCCAUAAUACCUACUUUCGGUUGGGGCGACCUUGGAAAAAAAAAGAACUUCCAAAUACAUGACCAAAAAUCACACACCGGCCCACAAGCCUACACAGACCCAGUACAACUGAUAAUUGAACCAAGCUACUCCAGGGAUAACAGCGCCAUCUUCUUCAAGAGUCCAUAUCAAAAAGAAGGUUUACGACCUCGAUGUUGGAUCAGGACAUCCUAAUGGUGCA
rnacentral:rRNA from 1 species